CUUUAAUUGGUUGCAGUUGAGCUAAUGGUGGAGCCAAAAUGCUAUUGCCCUGUCUUCAUCAACAUUUAAUCACUCCUUUAUGUCUCCAAAUGAUACAAGAAGACCCGAGAAAGUGGUAAACUAAAUGAUUUUUAUUAAAGUAAUUGCCAAAUAUUAAAGAUAAAAUAUGGAUAGUUA
rnacentral:sRNA from 1 species